GCUCAAAAAGUAUGGAGAGCUUCUGCUGUCUUUAUCAGUAUGUAAAAUGAUGAGAACUAUUUAUGUGCGGAAAAUAAAUAAAGUUCUCCAGUGGAUUCGAAGAAGCAAGCAACGUUGGGUGCUUAAAAAGUAUGGACGGCUCAUAGUGUCUUUAUCAAUGUGUAAAAUGUUAUUUUGAUAUGGGAACUAAUUAUGUGAGAAAAAUAAAUAGAGUUCUUAGUGAGUUUCAUGGUAUCUUUUGAGGUUUUAAUUUCGGGCAUUAUGCAGUCCUCUUAUUUGUAAUCUCCCACGAGAAUUAUUAAUGAAGUUCAAUUAUGCCAAACAAAAUUAAUGCUUAAUUUAACGUUUUUUCAUGUAAAAAUCAGUUUGAAAAUUAGGUUAAAUCACAAAAAUAAACACUCUCUGAAACUCUAAUACCAAAAUAAAAAUAAAAAUCAUCACAUCAUGUUUUCAUACAACAAAAAGAAAUUUCAAAAAAAUAUAUAUGUAAUAGCAUGCACUUUGGCUUUAACAACAAGUUUGUUAGAGCCAUGAGAACUAGGCCAAUAUUUCAAAAAAUUCUAAAAAAGCUUUUUGUCUUCUUUUAGUAUCUGAGAUUACGAAUUUAUACGUAAAACGUAUUCAUAAUAUUAAAAAUAUAGUUUUCAUAUAGACGUUAGAACAGUUAAGUUUUUACCCGAUAAGAUAAGGACUUCCUUACUGAGGAGGAUUUUCCUUAAACCAUAGACAGACCAACAACUAGAAAUACAAUAACACCUUAGCUUUUAUCAGACAAUCAAACAAUGCAGCUUAUCUUAGGUAAGGCAUAUUUGGGGUGCUAAUAUCUUCUCUUUGCGCAAUCAGUCCCCGUACCCGAUCUCUGAGACCAGUUAGGGUUUCUAGUGACCAAAAUACUAGGUGGCGACUCCCAUUCCAUUUUUCACUGAUAAACAACAAGAAUUUCUUGUCUCCUUUUAUUUGCCAGAUAAAGAUAUAGAUACAUCCUAGAUUUAAAGUGAAACUAUUUUCACAGCGACGCCGCACACGUACAACAUCCUUGUUCCAUAUAUUGAACACAUCAAUCUUUAGAAAACAAAAAAAAAAUCAUAAUGUUCUAAUUUUUCAUAUACGUUGUUUUCAGUUAUUUUUUUUAUUCUAAUUUAAUUAGAAUUUCUCAGAGCUCGAGAUGUACGCAGAACGGGCGGCUAAUCCCAACUGCAUACAUUAGAAAAGGAAGAAAGAAAGUUUGGAAGGUGUUACAAAUCAAAGAAAGUCUAAAAUUUAAUAUUUAAAUGGAGCUCUGCUACUAAAGUUAGAAGGUAAGUACUUUGGCAAGGAAUUUGUAACCUAUGAAACAUUUUUUAGAGCUGCGGAACACUGUCAGUGUACACAUUUUAUCUUCUCUAAAAGCAGGUUAGAAAGUAAAAAAUGGCUUGAAAUUUAAAAAGUUUUUUUAUUCAUCUAUAAUAUUGUUUUUAUCUUUUGUAUGAAUGAAUUUUAUUUUUAAAAAUAAAAAAAUUAUUUUAGAUAAUAUUUCUAAUAUGUGCAGUCGUGCAUAAUGUUUUUUUCUAUUUUAUUCUAUUCAAUCAAUUUAAUUUGUGUUUUUAUUUUUAUUAUUAUUUUUUAAAAUAAAAAUAUUAUUUUAAUAAAUGAAUUUAGCAAAUACAAUCAGGUAAAUAUCUCAUAUUUUAGGAUUAAAUAUUUUGAUGUAUGAUUCUUCACUUUUCAAGUUUUAUACAUGUAGAUGCAAUUGCAUUCAUACUUUCGAAGUUAUAAUUAACUCUAUUUUUUUGUGGUAGAUUCAAUAUGAGGUGGUAAGUUUUGAUGAUCAUGUGUGCCUUUGCGUAAAACGUUGUUACUAAUUAAUUGGGGAGGUGAAAUAGCAAAGGAAUUAAAGCACAUAACAGCAGUAAGGCAUCCAUUUACUAUGGUAUAUCACAUGCAUGCACUUAUAAAUUAACCUAACACGUUAUGUUUUGCCUAGAGACCUCUGAAGGUGGAACCUGUUACCGUUAGUCAACCAGCUAGUCUUCGGCCUUUUAUAUUAAUUCAGGAUAUCGUCUUCCACGCAUUUUUAAGCUUAAGGUCCACGAUCAAAUUUCAGUGCGCAGUGUCACGUGCAAUACCUUAGAAAAUGAUACCUCAAUUUUGUACUUAUGAAGUAUGUUUUGCUUGGAAACCUCUGAAGGUGGGGCCUGUCACCGUGAGUUAACAGCUAGUACUCUUCAGCUUUACUAAUGCUGAAUAUCGUCUUCCAUAUAUUAUGAAAGCAUAUUAUGAUCUUCCAUCAUAUGUGGAUAGAAUCCACUCUUACUUAUCAAAGGUGGCUUAGUCAAUAAUGCGAAGUAUUUGAUACGUUCGUUAAUUAUCUUGGGCACGGGAGGACUUAAUUUCAAGAAUAGUUGAAAAUCUGUUUGAAAAUUAGGUUGAAUCACAAAAUUAAACACUCUCUGAAACUCUAAUACCAUAUCAUCUUAGCUUAAGUUUCUACAUAAAACUUUAAAGCCUCUUUUAUCUCUCAAAACCAUGUUCAAACUAUUAGUUUCUAUUUGUCUGCACUAUUUCUGUUUGGUUGCCUAGAAAAAAUGGGACAGGUUAAAAAAAAUUGAAGUAUGGUAAACUGCACAGCCCUUGUUUGAGUGGGGUUUUUUCCUUUAAUUUUGUCAAAUGACAUGGAAAAGAAAGUGAUUUCUUAAUUUAUAAAGAAUCUCUCUAUUAUUUUUUAUUUUAUUUUCCAUUAAUGCAAUACUCAGUUGAACAUGUCUCUUCGGGCUGUAAUAUUAACAUGUAAUAUUUUAAUUGUUUUUUCAAUCAUUGAUUUUUAUUUCUAAUUUUCUCGGUCUUUACCAACCAAAAAAUAUUAUCAAUAAAUAGUGACUAAAAUAGCAACAUUAUUUUUUAUUGAAAAACAUCACCAUAAUUUAUCGAUGAUAUUUUUUUUUGUUAGUAUUUAAUAAUUUUCUAACAUUGACUAGAGUUUUAAAGGAUACCAAUCGUCCCACCAUAGAUGAGUGGUCUUACCAUUUCAAACGGUUUGAUGAAUUGCUUUUGUACUGUUAGAGAAUAAUAUAAAUUAUAUCUUGAGACCUCAUUUAACAUCUUAAACUUUUAGGUUGAAUUGGUUUUUUGAUAUGGUAUCAGAGCCUUGAUGACUAAGCGGUCACGAGUUCAAAUCUCACCACCCUCAUUUAUUUGAGAAAAAUUAAAGAUAAGAUAAUAUGAGCUCAAGCCCAAAAGGCUUUCUUUUGAGGGUGUGUGUUAGGGAAUAAUGAGUUGAAUUAGUUCUUUAACACGUACAAAUGUUAUAAGCUAGAGUAAUUAUCAUCGAUGUUAAGAAUAACUAUUGGGUACUUUAUGGCUCCAAAAGCUAUUGCAUAAAUGUAAUUACAUCAUUUUUAAGCAACUUUUGUACUAGUUGUUAGUAGUAUAUUGGCUCUUGCUCCGCAGCAGAUCAAUAUUAAGAAUAUAGUAAAUAUUUUAAUAGCCUUGAGUCAAGUAGCAUGCUAGACCCAAGGUGUUUAGGUCUGGCGUAGUUGUCAAACCCAAGUCUCUUGGGUCUGGAGUGGUUGUCAGACCCAAGUAGCUUGGGUUAGGCAUGGUAGCCAGACCCAAGGCGCUUGGGUCUGACAAUAACACCAGACACAAGCUACUUUUUUUUAUCUUUUCUGAGGCUAAAAGUGUUAUUUUAUUAUAUAUGAAAAUUGUAAAAACUUGAAAUACCCUUUUUUGGGAGCAUAUCCUUUUUUAUUAUUAUUUUGGGGACAAAUAAGUAUUUUUAUUGUUAUGAAUAUUGUGAAAAACCAAGAAAGUCCUUGGUCAACAGUUCUAAUUUUUGUUGACUUUAGGGGUAAAAGAGUACUUUAAUUGUGUCUCAAGCACCUUGGGUCUGACAGUCUUGCCAGACCUGCGCACAAUAAACUAGUGGGAUAAUUAUGCACUUUAGUUGUCAGGAGAGAGAAAAUAAAGAAAGAACGCAAACAAUCAAUCACCAAGGGGCAAUCCAAUCAUUAUCUGGCUACGCGCGCUAUACCAUUUGCAAGAGGGCACGACUAUGCUUCUAAUUAGAUGGUGGUUGGCCAGAUUUGACCACUGAGAAGCAUCAUACGCGUCUCCUUAAUGGCAUGGGCACUGCCCAUUUGCUAGGGCAUGAGGAACACUAGCCCGCAACUUUUUGAUUAAAAAAUAACAAGUACAUCGUGACAAUACUAUAAAAUGCGUCGUUUCAUUUAUAUAUGAUAUGGCGCCAACACGUCAACUUCCAAAUCAAUCCCCAAUUUAUCCUUUGUCCGCUCAAGUCCUCAAAUGCAAUUUUGAUUUUAAGAAUCAAUUCAAUUACAUCCCUGCCAACUUCAAUCGCCGGCCCUAUAGUUGGUCGUCUUUCCCACUUUCGUCCUUGGUUUCUGAUUUAUGCAAUUUGACUCUCAAUUGAUCAAUAAACUUUUAAUUCUUCAAUUUGGCCCCUGAUUUGGUUAAUUACAGCCCCUCUAUUUACGCGUCUUUUCUAGUUUGGUCCUUGGUUUUGGAUUUCUUCAAUUAGGUCCCUAAUUGGCCAUCAAACUUCAAUAUUUAUGCAAUUAAGCCCCUGAUUUGACCAAAUUAACUCUCAAAAAUUAUAAUUUGACCCCAUAACUUUAAUUUAUUCCAAUUAAAGCCCAAAUUGACUUAAAAAUUAAUUUUUCUUGCAAUUAAACCCUCUAUAAAUUCAAUUAAACUUUCAAUAAAUCCAAUUGAGUCUAUAAACAUCCAAUUUUGGACUUUUCUCCCCAAAUUGAAUUUUCUUUUCCAACAAGGCUCUCAUCAUUCAAGUAUAUACUGUCAAAAUUUCAAUCCUUGUAUUUUUGAACCUCCUUAAUCAAUUUUUCUGACCAUUUUCUGAGCACUCCAACCUCCUACUGUUAUUUCCAAUUUCUUCCGACCAUAUAUUUAUAUUUAUUUUUAUUAUUAUAUUUUUAUUUUUAUUUUUUGUAUGGGGACCCAAAAAUGGGUUACAACACAAACAAUCGAUCACCAGCGAUAAUCCAACCAUUAUCUAGCUACACGUGCCACACUAUGUGAAAGAGGGCACGACUACGCUUCCAAUUAGAUGGCGAUUGAUCAUAUUUGGCUACUAGGAAGAGUCCUAUGCACCUCCUUAGUGGCACGGGCACUGCGCGCUCGUUAGGGCGUGAGGAAUACUGGCCCGCAGCUUUUCAAUUAAAAAUAAUAAAUACAUCAGAUCGUGAACAUACUAAAACGCCCUCAUGGUCCUUUUAAUUACACAAACAUCCAUAUAAAAAUACCAAAAUAUCCCCGAAUGUAAAGUUUUUUUUUUUUGAAGCUAAAAGCAUUAUAUGACUGUACUUGGAAAUUGAAAAAAUCCGAAUACCCUUGUAAUAGAAAGUCAAAGAAACAUCUCGUGAAAAUAUGAGAAAUUAAAAGUAAAACGACUAUUAUAAUCUACAGUAAAAAAUCUUUUAAUCUAUAGUGAUUUCCUCACACCAUUUAGUUUUUGUUAUAAUUGAAUUGUUCUCGUGAAAAUAUUGGAAUUUAUAAAUAAUUUUUAUACAAGGUGUCUUAUAUCUAUGUAAGAAUGAGAAGUAUAAUUUAGGAUUAUCUAAGUGGUAUGGUUGAGGGUAAGUAUGUACGAAGUAAUCACAUCUAACACUAUCUUCUUUAACCAUGUUGAGCGCGACAUGACAUGAAUGGAAGAUGGUUACGUGAAUAUGCUUUUAGGGGCUGUUUAUUUUUAUUUUAUUUUUAAAAAAAAGCCAUGUUUUGUGAUUUCUUUUUAAAAAAAUAUUGUUUAAAAUUAAGUUUUUUAUAUUUUUAAAUAUGUCAAUAUCAAAAUUAAUUUUUAAAAAAUAAAAUAAAAAUAUUAUUUUCAUAUAUUUCUGAAUGAAAAGUAUUUUUAAAAAUAAUUGUUAUAUAUAACACUUAUAAACACUAUCUUAAUAUAUAAAUGACCCAGCAAGCUGAGAUUAUAUUAUGACUUGGGGUAAUCCUCAUAGUGUGGCUUGGUGAACAUGUAGGGUUUGGACAAUGCUUUCACCAUAGUGUGGCUUGACAUAAACUUAGGAAGAGUACACGAAGAUGCCUUUUGUCUAUAUGUGACUUGGAGUAUAGAAUCAUAGAUACUUCUUUUGUAUUGACUUGGAGUCAACGUGCAUGGAAGCAAGUUGAGUAUAAAAGGAUCCAGAGAGGCGAUAUUUAUGGAGUAACGUCGCCUACAAGUCUACAAUGGUGUCCUAAGGAGGCUAAAAUUAACGGUGCUGGUAAUAUUAAGUACAAAACUAAAAUGUGUGAGUUUUUUUUACCGUGUAUUCAUAUAUUAUUAUGGAUUAAAUGUGUAAACUCUUGAGGUUUUUUCUUUUAAAUUAAUGAAAAAACAUAUAUGAAUUGGAUUGAUUUUUUAUUUUAGGUUGAUUUUAGUUUUUAGAACAGUUUUUUAAAGUCAAUGAUAGAUUUAUCAUGGUUCCUAAGAUAUUUUGAAGGUAUUUUAAGUAAACAAUUUGAAAAUGAGUUUUUAGGUAAAAAAAGUUAAGCCCUGAUUUUCCAGUCAUUGUGGUGACCGGAAUAUAAGCAAAUCAAACACCUUGUCCUCUAUUUUUUUUUCAAAAAAAAUUAGGACGGAAGACAUGCUACAAAAAAAAUAAGAGCUCAAUCACGGGGGGUCUGCCACUGCAGGCUCACAUGGGGAACCUAACAAAAUGGGUGAGCCUGGCUUUUUUUUUUGUAAAUUUUUUUUUAAUUUGUUUGUUUUUUCUCUAUAUUUUUUUAUUUUUCAAAUUAUAUUUAUAAUAUGUGCAACCGCGCAUGGUGUUUUUUUCCUCUUUUAUUUUAUUCAAUCAAAUACCUUAGAAAAUGAUACCUCAAUUUUGUACUUAUGAACUAUGUUUUGCUUGGAAACCUCUGAAGGUGGAGCCUGUCACCGUGAGUCAACAGCUAGUCUUCAGCUUUAUAUAUUAAUGCAUAUUAUUAAUUAAAGCAUAUUAUUAUCUUCCAUCAUAUGCGUGGAUAGAAUGCACUCUUACUUUUCAAAGGUGUCUUAGUCAAUAAUGCGAAGUAUUUGAUACGUUCGUUAAUUAUCUUGGGCACGGGAGGACUUAAUUUCAAGAAUAUAUAGUUCCCUUCGAAUGCUGCUAAAAAUCAUGGUGGCUAUAAACAAGAGAGGUGGAGAUAUAGGAGAGCAUAACCAUGUUAGUCCCAUAUAUUUCCAAGAUGAAGGCCUUUCUUAUCGCAUGCAUUCUCUUAGCUACCAUCGUCUUCUCUCCCCUGUCCACUUGCACUGCUCGAGAAUUGGCCGAGCGAGGUGAGAUUUUAUUUCCAUCAUUAACUUCAGAAAAGCAGUUCAUUUUGUGUGCGUGUGCGUGUAGUCUCUUUGUGUAUUGCAGCGUUAAUUAACUUAAGAUAAGCAUUUCAUGUUAUAUAUUAUUUAAUUAAUCUGUCGUGGGCUAUCUUAUAUAUAUAAAAAAGAUGAUUCUGCUAUAAUAUCAGAUUAUGUCAACAUGAAUUUGCUAUAACAUGCGUGAAUCUUGCAGACGUAUCCCGGGGAGCUCUCAACCCCCAUAAACCAGUGUACGGUUGCGGAAGGGGUAAUCGAUAUUGCGUACCUAAAACACCAAGAGGUUGCCCAAAUCCUUACAAGCGUAAUUGUGGGCGCCAUUAAGAUUAGAAGCAAGCAAAGUUGAGUACUGCUUAAAAGUAUGGAGAGCUAUACUACUAUCUUUAUCAAUAUGUAAAAUGAUCAGAACUAUCUAUGUGAGAAAAAUAAGCAAAGUUCUCCAGUGGAUUAGAAGAAGCAAGCAAAGUUGUCUGCUUAAAAAGUAUGGACGGCUCAUCGUGUCUCUAUCAAUAUGUAAAAUGUUAUUUUGAUAUGGGAACUAUUUACGUGAGAAAAAUAAAUAGAGUUCUUAGUGAGUUUCAUGGUUUCUUUUGAGGUUUUAAUUUCGGUCACUAUGCAGUCCUGAUCUUUUGAGGUUUUAUUAAUGAAGGAAUCCAAAAUAAUAAUAAUAAUAAUAAUAAUAAUAAUAAUAAUAAUAAUAGGAGUGAGAAAAUGAUGUUGGAUUACCCAUAAAAUGUUUAAAAAUACAAUAAUUGAAAUUUGACAGUAUAUUUUUAACUUGUGAGAGUCAUGUUGACAAGAAAAAUUCAAUUUGAGGAAGAAAAGUUCAAAAUCAGAUGUUUAUGGACUCAAUUAAAUUUUAUCUAAGGUUUAAUUGAAUUUAUGGAGGGUUUGAUUGCAAGAAAAAUUGAUUUUUAAAGUCAAUUUAGGCUUUUAUUGGAAAAAAAAAAGUUAAAGUUCUGGGGUCCAAUUAUAAUUUUAAAGAGUUGAUUUGGUCAAAUUAGAGGCUUAAUUACAUAAUUAUUGAAGUUUGAUGGUCAAUUAAGGACUUAAUUGAAACAAUCCCGAAACCAAGGACCAAACCAGAAAAGGCGAUAACAUUAAGGGACCCAAUUGCAAUGUUUCCUGGGUUUGAUUACAAAAUUGCGAAACUUUCAAGGACCAAAUCAGAAGACUCCAAACGGCGCCGUUUCCAUUGAAGCACUACUCACUGUCUUCUCAAACAUGGCAGCUGUGGCGUUAAAGGCAGGAGACGUUAGCAGCGAUAAUGGAGCCGCUUCAAUCAGGGGGCAUGUCUCACGCCACCAUGUACGGCGGCCGUUACUUUGUUGCCAGAAAACUUCUGCAUCCUCUGGCUAUAAAAGCCAGAGGAAGGAUCGAGCAAAGGGGAGAAAAAAAGGGAGGAGAAAGCAAGGAGACAGCAGAAAAAAAAAACAGGGUGGGAAAAAAGGAAAGAGAAAAGAACAGAGGGGAAAGGAGACGAGGAGGACGCAGACACACCAGAAAAAAAGAACAGGGAGAAUAAAGAAAGGAAACAGAGGGAUGCGCACUGGGUAGCACAGGGAGAAGGAAGCAGGGGAGAGGGACUGUUGAACCUCUUUCAAAACCGCAGGAUCCGUGAUCAAGCUCAGACGAAUUGGAAAAGAAACACGAAUACCAGUAGCAAGGAAAAACAGACGAAGAGGAAGAACCAGAGGAAAAGCAAACGAAACAGGGAAGAUAUAAAUCCAAAACAUGUUGCUGUCUUCGUCUUGCUUCCAGGUAACUCCAGCUUGGCAAAAUAAUGCACAAAAUACUGUGCACUUGGAAUUAGAGGUGAUCAUUUUCGGUUCGGUUUUUAUCAAAAAAAGUAACCAAACCGAAAUUUUUUUUUUUUAAAAAAAACCGAAACCGGGUCAAACCGACCGGUUUCGGUUCGGUUCGGUUUUUUAGGGCAAAAACCGGUUCAAACCGGUUUGGCUUGGUUUUUCUGGUUUUGGCUCGGUUUUUUCCGGUUUGGCUCGGUUUUUCCGGUUUGGCUCGGUUUUGGCUCGGUUUGGCUCGGUUUUUUUUCCGGUUUUUUCGGUUUCGGUUCGGUUCAGUUCGGUUUUUUGCUUAUAAAACCGAAACCGAACCGAACCGGCCAGUUUUUUCAAAAAUUUAAUCGGUUUAAUCGGUUUUUUUUUUCGGUUCGGUUUUUUCGGUUUUUUUUUCCGGUUUUCUCGGUUUAAUCAGUUUUCCGGUUUUUUUACUCACCCCUACUUGGAAUUUAAUUACAUGGUGGCUGCAGCCAGCGUGCGUGAAGAAGUCACGCACGCUGGUGGGUAGAAUCCAGCUGGGUCACUGGUUUGGACCAGUGACCCGGCUAAGCCUGCUGGGUCCAGCCCAGCCACAUGGGCCGAGCUAGACCCAGCCCAAAAAAAUCCAAAAAUCUCUUCAAAAAAUUUAUGAUUUUCUUGUAUAUUUUUUACUGCAUUUGAUCAAUAUUGGUUUGUAUUUUUAUAAUGUAAAGAUACAAAUCCGGUAUUAAAAUACUUGGUUUUCGUCAAAACACAAAAAAGUAAUAAAUAAAUAAAUAAUGUUUUGUUUUCAUGCAUACGGCCAAGUAUCUCAAAGAAAAAAAAAUCAUAUUUUCAUAUAACAAAAAUUCAAAAAAUAGGUAUUAGUAUGCAUUUUGGCUUUAAUAACCAGUUUAUUAAAGUUACGAGAACUAGGCCAAUAUUUCAAAAAUUCAAAAAAAUUAUUUUGUUUUCUUUUAAUAUCUAGGGUUACGACCUUAUACGUAAGACGUAUUCCGGAUAUUAAAUUCUUUUGUUGAUAUUAGAACGGUUAGGUUUCACCCGAUAAGAUAAGGAUGUCCUUAUCAAGGAGAACUUUUCUUAAAUCAUAGACGGACCAACAACUAGAAAACACGACAAGACCUUAGAUUUUAUCAGACAAUAAAACAAUGCAGUCUACCUUAGGUAGGGCGUAUUUGGGGUGCUAAUACCUUCCCUUUACGCAACCAGUCCCCGUACCCGAUCUCUAAGACCAGUUAGGGUUCAUAGUGACCAAAAUACUAGGUGGUGACUCCCAUUCCAAUUUUUCCACUAAUAAAAGACAAGAAUUUCUUGUCUCCCCAUAUUUGCCAUAAUUUUAGAUAAUACAAAAUUUUGAGGGUGGAUGUUUUCGCCGCACACGUGCGACAAUUAAAGUGCCAAAGGAUACCAAUCGUCCCACCACUACCAGAAAAUCGAUAAAUACAAACAGAAAUACCGAGGGAAUAUUUUCGUCGGUGAAUUGCCGACGGAUUUUACCAAUGGAAAUAUUCCCUCGUUAUUUACUGACGGAAAUAUUCCCUCGGAAUUUACCGACGGAAUUACAGUGGGAAAAAUAAUUAAAACAAAGCAAAAAAAUGAUGACGUGCCAUUUUUACCAACGAAAUUACCGACGAAAUAAAAUAAUUGGUAAACUGUCAACACUAUUCAUCAUGUUAAUUACGAAUGGAAUCACCGAGGGAACAUUCCAUCGGUAUUUUACAGAGAGCUUUGGAACUAUUCACUUCCCAAUUGCACUGUUAAUUACUGUUCUUUACAGAAAAAAUCACCGACGGAUUGAAAAGUCGUCGAUGUUAUAUGGUGGUUUUCUGAAAAAUUUAAAUUAAAUAUUACAGACGGAAUCACUGACGGAAUGAAAAGUUAUCGGUGAUAUUUGACGGUUUCUGAAAUGUUUUUAUUAAAUUCAAAAUUUAAAUUAAAUAUUAUAGACAGAAUCACCGACGGAAUGAUUAAAAAUAUUAAUAUUUAAUUAUCCAUAAGUAAAAUUAUCGGUAAACGCCCCAAUAAAAAGCCUAGAAUCUCUAAUUUCACAACAGACCCGUCUUCUUUCUUCUUCUUUUUUUCUUCUCUCUCCUCAACUCCUUCUCUUGUCCUCCAUGCUCAGGUAUGUCUUCUUCUUCUUCUUUUCUUCUCUUCUCUCCUCAACUCCUUCUCUUCUCCCCCAUACUCAAGUAUGUCUUCUUCUCCUUUCUUAUUUUUUCUUCUCAGUUUUUUUUAAUUAGUAUACUUUACAAAUUUUUUUUUCUCUUCUUAGCUUCACUUGCAACUACAUUAAGGUAAAAAAACAUUUCUUCUUUUUUCGUGUUUUUUUCACUAUAUUUGUUUUUUAUUUUAUUUGUAAUUGCUUUUUUCUUAAUAAUUGUAUGAAUUUUGUUGUAGGAUUCAUUUUUUCAUAUAAGAUCAAUUUUUAGUUGAUUUCUUUAUAGGAUUUUUAAACUUUUUUCAUAUGAAUUUUUUUAGUUGAAUUUAUUUUUUCACGUUAUUUAUUUGUUGCAAUUUUUUUUUAUUUGAUUUUCUUCUUUUUUCCAAGAAUUUUGAGUAUUAUAGACUGUUGAUUAAUAAUUAUUUUAUAUUUUUGUAAUAUAUAUAUAUAUAUAUUAAAUAUUUUUAAAUAAUUACCGAUGGAAUUACAUACGGUUUGUUUCCGAGGAAAUUACCAAUGGAAUGAAAUAGUUUUUUUUUUGCUUGCUUUUUUCGUUAGUAAAUCCAUCUGUAAUAAUAUUUUUUUAUUACCAACGGACUUACUGACGGACAAAAAAUUACCAACGAAAGAUUAACCGAUGGAGACUUUCCGUCGGUGAUUUUGUCGGUGAGUUUUUUACCAAUGAAAUGGUAGUGCAAAUACUGACAGAAAAUUUCGUCGGUAAAUCUAAAGAUUUUGGUAGUGCACCUUAGAUGAGUGGUCUUACCAGUUGAAACGGUUUGAUGAAUUUGCUUCCAUACAAAUGUUAUAAGCUUGAGUAAUUUUAAUCGGUGUCAAGAACAACUAUUAGGUACUUUAUGGCUCCAAAAGCAAGUAAUUAUAUAAUCUUUAAGCCGCUUUUGGAUCAGUAGUUAGUAGUAGAUUAUAUAAUCUUUAAGCUGCUUUUGGAUCAGUAGUUAGUAGUAUAUUGUCUCGCACUAUGAAUUAAUAUCAAAUUUUAAAAAAAAAUGUAAAAGAAAUAUUAAGAGUAUAGAUAAUGUUUUAAUAGCCUUGGAUCAAGUAGUUAUGUCAGAUUCAAGGCUCUUAGGUCUGAAAUGGUUGUCAAACCCAAGUAGCUUGGGUCUGGUGUGGUAGCUAGAUGCAAGGCGUUUGGGUUUGGCAAAAACGCUACACGCAAGCUUCUUUUUUAUUUUUUAUGCUAAAAACGUUAUUUUACUGUAUAUGAAAAUUGUAAAAACCUGAAAUGCCCUUUUUCGGCAGCCUAUCUUAUAUAUAUAUAUAUAUAUAUAUAUAUAUAUAUAUAUAUUUGAGGCAAAGAAGUAUUAUUACUAAUACGAAUAUUGUGAAAAGCCAAGAAAGUCAUGGGUUAACAGUUCUAAUUUUUAUUAACUCUAGGGGUUAAAGAGUACUUUAACUAUGUCCUAGGUGCCUUGGGUCUAGCAGCCUUGCUAGAUUGGCAUCUAGAUCUGCAACCAUGCCAGAUCGUGUUGGGGUCUGCCACACCCACGCAUGGGUCUGGCAACCAUACUAGAUCCACGCACAACAAACAAAAUGGAUAAUUGUGUACUUUAGUUAUUAGGAGAGAAAAAAAAAAUAGAAGAAAAAACACAAACAAUCGAUCAUCAGCGGCAAUCCAACCAUUAUCUAGCUACACGCGCCAUACUAUGUGGAAGAGGGCACGACUAUAAGCUUCCAAUUAGAUGGUCGUUAGCCAUAUUUGGCUACUAGAAUGUUGUAACCCAUUUUUGGGUCCCCCCAUAAAAAUAAAAAUAUAUAGCCGGAAGAAAUUAGAAAAAUAAUAAGAGGUGGGAUCGCUCAGAAAGGAUCAGAAAAAAAUUGAUUAAGGACGUUCAGAAAUGCGAGUGAAAUUUUUUACAGUAUAUUCUUGAAGAAGGAGAGCCCUGUUGGAAGAGAAAAUUAAUUUGAAGAGAAAAGGGUCAAAAUUGGAUGUUUAUGGACUUAAUGGAAGGUUUAUUUGAGUUUAUAGAGGUUUUGAUUGCAAGGAAAAAUGAGUUUUUAAGUCAAUUUAGGCUUUAAUUGGAAGAAGUUAAAGUUCUGGGGUCAAAUUAUAAUUUUUGAGAGUUGAUUUGGUUAAAUCAAGGGCCUAAUUGCAUACAUAUUGAAGUUUAAAGGUCAAUUAGGGACUUAAUUGAGAAAAUCCGAAACCAGGGACCAAUUUGGAAAAGGCGCGUAAAUAAGAGGGGCGGUAUUGGAUUUGAUCCGGGGCCAAAUUAAAGAAAUUGAAAACUGGAGGACUGAUUUGAAAAGGGGCAGGAACUGUUCAUUGUCUUCCCCACCGAGCUGCCCGAGUGGCCGACUUCCAGGCGUGUUUUCUGCCUCGUUUGGCCCCCAAAUCCAACAAAGCAUGCACCAACAUAUCCACAUGAAACCCCUUUAUCCCGGAGAAUGGUCCGGUCGGGUCGAAAAGGUUAUAAACGGGUCCGUUCAUUGGCCCGAAGUGGCCACCUCGGGCAGUUCACAGCCUGGAGCUGCCAAAUUUGGCAGCUCGAGGUGCACACUUUGAGCCAACGGUUGAGAUGCUUCCCAACUGAAUCAAGAGCUGUAAUUUUUCCACAACGUUGACAAUAUAGCCCUCUUACACCGCCUAUAAAUAGAAUCUCUGUUGAAGACCUGGGGGGGGAGAAAUUCGGGUCCAAAGUCAGCCAAAAAAACCAGCAUCUUCACCCAAUUUCUGCAGAUUUUUCUUCUUCUUCUUUCUUCCUCUGCCACAGGAAACCGACACCGUCUUCCUCCAACUCCACCGCUGCAACCACUGGCUGAACCACCUCAUCACAGCAGCCACAACCCCUUCGGCCAAGCGAACAGCCAGAGGAAGAAGAAGCAGGGAGGAACAGAGAAGAAAACCCGAAAGGGGGAGAAGAAGGAAAAAGACCCAAAAGAGAGAGAACGGAGAGACGAUAGAGACAGGAGACAUAAAAAAUAAAAUAAAAUAAUAAUAAUAAUAAUAAUAAUAAAAAAAAAAAAAAAUUGAACAGUGUCGUUUUGACACUGUUCCUCUACCCGCCGCGCUCCAUGCCGUUGGAGCCGAACCUCGACAGUAGCACCCAAUGGCCGACCAGCCGCCGCGAGACCCGCUCCCAUGCGCAACAGCAAAAGCCACACCCACUUGCUCUAUAAAUAGCACCCAACACAGUAGAAAAAGAGGGGGGAAAACUUUUUGAAACGGAGAGAGGAAGAAGUUUAAAACGAGGAGAGUUUUGUUGAACGGGAGGGGGCUGGAAAACUAAAAGGGGAGGCGUGUUUUUGGAACGAGAAAGAGAGAGAGCACCCGAAACAGCCUCCUCUGUCAACGGAGCCCCAGACCGACCUCAUUUUCUCCUCCAUCCCAACAGCGGCAGCAACACCAGGAGCCGCACCAACGCUGCCAACGCCCUCAUCAUCUCCUCUAGCCCAGCAGCAGCAACACCAGGAGAAGAGUAGCAGCAGCAACACCAACACCAGGAGGAAGAGCAGCAGCGGCAACACCAGGAGCAGUUGCAGUAACACGCCAACUGCACCAGCAUUGCCAAACGCCACCACCAUCCUGCCUCAGUUCAUCACCUUCCUCCCACCCGGCGUUGCUGCUUGAAGAAAAAGGGAGCACCUGCCUCGCGAGCAGCAGGGGAAGAAGAAGAAGAAAACAACUGCUGUCUUCGGGCAUCCUCUCCAUUGCCAGCAGCACCAUCAAAGCUGCCAAACAACAGCAGAACCACCGCGAGAGGGAAGAGCACCGUGAGAAACAGAAGAAGAAAGGAGAAGCAGAGGAGAACAGAGUAAGGGAAAACACAGUGAAGAAAGGGAAGAAAAGCUCACCACCGUCCAAGCCAUUCUCCGGUCAGCAACCGCCAGCAGCACCGCCAUCAGAGCCACCACAGGUCAGCCCUCUGCCCCUUAUCUCGUUUUACUGUUCAUCUUCUUGCAUGCGGAACGUGCACUGUGCACGUUCUGCAAGCAAGAAAAUAAUUAGCCGGUUACUGUACAUGUGCACAGUAACCAGCUAAUUAAUUAACGGGUUGCUAUGCGUGUACAGUACCCCGGUUACUAUGCGUGUACAGUACCCCGAUGUACAGUGACCCCGUUUACUGUUGUUUUGGGCUGGAACCCCAGCCCAGCCCAUGCUGCUGGGCUGAGUCCAGCCCUGUAGAAAGUAGACCCGUUUUAUUUUGGGCCGAUUUCGGCCCAGUCUCCUUUCGGGCCGGGUCUGGCCCAUUCGAACAAAAAAAUUCUUCAAAAAUUAUUUCAAAAAAAAUGUGAUUUUCUCUAAAUUUAUUACUGUAUUUUGAUCAAUAUCGGUUUGUAUUUUUAUACUGUAAAGAUACAAAUCCGGUAUUAAAAUACCCGGUUUUCGUCAAGACAAAAAAUAAAAUAAGUUAAAAAUGUUUUGUUUUCGUGCAUACGGCCUAGUCUCUCCAACAUAUAUAUAUAAAUAUUAUAACAUCAUAUUUUCACACAACAAAGGAAAUUUCAAAAAAACAAUAUAUGUAUUAGCAUGCAUUUUGGCUUUAAUAACCAGUUUAUUCAAGCCAUGAGAACUAGGCCAAUAUUUCAAAAAUUCUAAAAAAUCUUUUUGUCCUCUUUUAGUAUAUGGGAUUAUGAAUUUAUACGUAAAACGUAUUCCUGAAAUUAAAAAUAUGUUUUUUACAUAGACAUUAGAACGGUUAGGUUUUUUACCCGAUAAGAUAAGGACCUCCUUAUUGAGGAGGACUUUUCUUGAACCAUGGACGGACCAACAACUAGGAAACACAACGAGACCUUGAAUUUUAUUAGACAAAUGAACAAUGCAGCUUACCUUAGGUAGGGCGUAUUUGGGGUGCUAAUACCUUCCCUUUACGCAACCAGUCCCCGUACCCAAUCUCUGAGACCAGUUAGGGUUCCUAGUGACCAAAAUACUAGGUGGCGACUCCCAUUCCAUUUUCCACCAACAAAAGACAAUAUUUUCUUGUCUCCCCAUAUUUGUCAGAUAGAUACCAUACACCACUUCCUAGAUUUUAAAGUGGAAAACUCGCCGCGACGUCGCGCACCGUGCGACAGAAUGGCGACUCCACUGGGGACCUUGUGGACUAAGCUUUGUUUUUGUUUGAUUUGUUUUUUGUUCUCUUGUGUUUUUAAUAUACCUUUCCUUUUGUUAUAUGCUUAUAUGCUUUAAAUAUUUUUACACAUAUUGUUCAUGCAUUUGUAUAGAAUUAUCACAUGCAUCACAUACUUUGAUUUGGAGAAGCACACACAAGCUUUAAGUUAGGUGGGGGAUUAGCGAUUUGCCCUAUGACUAUUGGUCAGGGUUCAGAUGCGUGAAACACCCAACUCAUAUCUGAGUGCCUGCUUGGUAAUGGUGGGUAUACGUACUUUAACCGUUCCUUGCGACGCCCCCAUACUGUCUUUACGAAGAACGUCACUGGGCAGAUAUGAGACCCUUUUAAAGACCAGAUAGAAAACCUACCCAUUCUCACCUAUAUAAAUAGAACUUGUCCUUAGGAUAUCUAUCUUACGUUCAUUUGCAUCAUGAUUAAUAAUUCAUCAAUCCAGGUUUUUAAGCCGAAAUCUUGCCUAAAGGAUUACGAAAGUCAUGAAUCGACUUUAAGAUAUACAUUUGCACGAGCAUCAUAUUUGUUUUUAAUUCAUCAUAUGCACGACAGAUCGUGAAACAUAGGUCCCACAUCCAAAGUCCACAACACCCGGUCUAGAUCGAGAAUGGAGAACGAAGAAAGAGCUCACUUAGAGUCACAUUAUCAGACCGAGUUGGAGUCCGUAAAAAAUGAAGUUUCUCGACUAACCGACUUACUCGAGCAGCUUUUAAGAGCUAAGAAUGGGGAGGGAACAUCAGCACAACAACCUGAAGGAGCGCCAGCAGCUCACAUCCCUCAAGCAUCUCAAAACCAGGGGGCAAACUCGGCCAAUGAACAACAUUUUGUGCCUGUCGCCCCUAUCCAGCCAACUCAUUCUCCAGUCACUGUGGACUUAACAGCGGAGGGAAUCCCGGAUAAUAAGUCUCCCGGUUUGAUGGACCAAGACAAGCUGUCUGCUUUGGAAGAAAGAUUACGGGCAAUUGAGGGUAAUGAUUGGUUUGACCCUAUGCGAGCAGCCGAAGUAUGUUUAGUACCAAACAUCGUGGUGCCAAAAAAUUUUAGGAUACCAGAGUUCAUUAAGUAUACUGGUUUGGAAUGCCCAAACACUCACCUUCGAUCCUACUGCAACAAAAUGGCAGAAGUAAUCCAUGAUGAUAAAUUGCUAAUCUAUUUCUUUCAAGAUAGCCUAGCAGGAUCCGCUUUGAGCUGGUACAUGAGGUUAGACAGUGUCAGGAUUAGGAGCUGGAGAGACUUGGUGGAGGCUUUCCUUAAACAGUACAAGUUUAACAUGGAAAUCGCUCCUGAUCGAACAAGUCUAAUGUCAAUGGAGAAAAGGAGCCAAGAGUCGGUAAGGGCCUAUGCGCAAAGGUGGAGAGAUGAGGCAAUGCAUGUCCAACCCCCUUUGAUAGAAACAGAGAUGGUGACCUUGUUUGCCAAUACCUUUAAAGCACCAUAUUAUGAGCACCUAAUGGGUAGCUCAUCUCAGCAUUUCUACGAUGCGGUACGCAUAGCUGAAAGAAUAGAGCAAGGGAUUAAAGCUGGACGUAUAGCUGAGCCAUUGGAGACAAAGGGUUUUAUUGGAAGAAAAAUGGAAGGUCACAUUUACGACUUUGAAGGUGGGUCCAAGGGCAAUAUAGUGGAUUCACUCAACCCACAAAUACCUACCCCUCAUGUUGCCCACAUAAACUUUAACAAACCAUUUUCCUCUAAUCGAGCAAAUAACCAGUCAAACAACCAAAACAACUACCAAAGACCAAAUACAAGGUACAUCUCAGAACAACUACCGCCAUUACCCAUGCCUUUGAAGGAAAUGUAUGCCAAACUACUGAGCAUUGGACAAAUAGCUCCUAUCCCUACAUUACCACUACAACCACCAUUCCCCAUCUGGUAUAAGCCCGAGUUGACUUGCGAGUACCAUGCUGGUAUUCCCGGACAUUGUCUUGAAACAUGCUACGCUUUCAAGAACAUGUUGUUGAAGCUCAUCAAGAUAGGAUGGGUGUCGUUUGAAGACACACCCAAUAUCAAUUCAAAUCCAUUGCCUGGUCAUGAAAAAAGUAAUAGGGGAUAAAGGGUUGGAAAACCUUGGUCAAGAAUCGUCAAUAAUGAAGAAGGCGAGAUCGAAGGAGAAGACAAGGAAACGCAAGUGGGGAAGGAAGAUGAAGCAUUGCCUCGGUUGACUUUACAGAACGGGUUGACCAAGAACUUCUCGUAGUUUUCAAAAUGUAAAACAACUUUAUUUGCCUUAGCAUGUUUUUGUCAUUUGCUUUUGUCAUUGCUUUUAUUUUCUCUAUUGGGCAAUCAGGGCUCAUGUUUUCAGCCAGAUUUUAUGUUUGUCUUUGAGCCUACCUUUUUUUAAUAAAUGAUGAGAUUAUGCACUUUUUAAACAAGGUUGAGUGAUUACAAAGAAUGUAUCAUAAAACGGUUAAAAAUGAAAUUUAAGAAAACAAACCAAAGUUAACCUUGAAGUACAACCCUGCCUUUGGAUAGCAUAAUAAAUUGAUCAAUCACCUGUAAGUUUCUUUCAAGAUAAAAACAGAGUUUAUCAAUCUUAACAAUGUGCAUUUUGAAAUGAAAAAAAAAUUUCAUUAUCCCUUCACUCUCUAAAGAGUAUAUCGUUGGUGGUCCCGUUUGAGCCGAAAUGAUUUUCUUCUUUAUAAAAACAUGGAAUAGGAUCACACCCCACACUGGGGGCAAUAAAAGAUAUUUCAUGAAAAGUUUUAUGUGAUUUUAAAACGGGAUGAGAGCCCGUAGAUUUGAAAACCAAGCUAAAACAUUUGACAAAAGCAUGACAAAGAGGCAAAUACAAGUCAUACAUUUUGAGAAAAGGACUACUUGAAAGACUUCUUCUCCAAGAAUAUGAUAGGCAACACGAGAGAUGAAUUCAGCAUAUGACUUCAAAAGUAAAGCUCAUGUUAAGAGGGAGUCUCAUGAACUAGAAGAAGAGGAUGGGGCCUAUGUUUCAAAACCAGGUACGAAUGCAUGCAUUGCAUCUAAUCAUAAAUCAUUGCAUGUAUGUUUUUUUGGAUCGUUACAGAAGGAGAUCUUAGCGCAUUUCAACAAGAUUAUGGACGAAGAAAGAAUCAUUGAGUUGAUUCUAGAACAACAAGAAGAGAAGAUAAUGGUUUUCAAACCAUGCCAGCAGGAAGAACGACAUCGAUAGCAUUCGGUAGAAAGGAAUCGCCAAAUGGGAUUCCAAGUUGUUGAGAUCGCUAGAAGGGAUCUCGUAUUUCGAUGGAGGUCGCCAGAAGGGACCUUAAAUUUCAGCUUUUGUAUAAAAGGAAUCGCCAGAUGGGAUUCCAAGUUGUUUGGAUAAAGGAGAUCGCCAAAAAGGAUCUUGUAUUUCGAUGAAGGUCGCCAGAAGGAACUUCAUGUUUUAGCUUUGGUAAAAGGGAUUGCCCGAUGGGAUUCCAAGUUAUUUGAGAUCACCAGAAAGGAUCUCAUACUUCGACAUUCAUCAAGAAAGGUCGCUAGAAGGGACCUCGUAUUGAAACUAUUUCUUAGAAAAGCAUGGAGUUUACUAAGAAUUCUUCCCCUUGGGUAGGUCACCCAUACAAUGAGACCAUCAUUUUUCUUGGGUAGGUCACCCAUACAAUGAGACCAUCAUUUUUCUUGGGUUCGUCACCCAUACAAUGAGACCAUUAUUUUUCUUGGGUUCGUCACCCAUACAAUGAGACCAUCAUUUUUCCUGGGUUCGUCACCCAUACAAUGAGACCAUCAUUUUUCCUGGGUAGGUCACCCAUACAAUGAGACCAUCAUUUUUCCUGGGUAGGUCACCCAUACAAUGAGACCAUUCUUCAUCUUUUUUUACCUGGGUAGGUCACCCAUAAUAAUGAGACCACUCUUUCCUUUUCCCAUUCGGGCAGGUCAUCCGUCAUAAUGACACCACAUACGUGUUUUUGUAUUUGGUUAUGGGUAAAGGAAUCGCCAGAUGAGAUUCCAAGUUUUUGGGGUUAAAGGAGAUCACCAGAAGGGAUCUCGAGAUGACUAAAUUUUGAUCAUAGUUUAUGGGAUUCCAAGUUGAGGGGGAUUGCUAUAAAAGACAAGUUUCAGAUCAAUCAAGCUUCAACCAAAUCAGUUUCGGGAGUUCCGUUUUGGGUUUAUCUUUAUAAAACUUACUGCGCAAAACCUCUGCUCCGUAAGCAUUAUAAAGAGGGGGCAUCUGUUGUAACCCAUUUUUGGGUCCCCCCAUAAAAAUAAAAAUAUAUAGCCGGAAGAAAUUAGAAAAAUAAUAAGAGGUGGGAUCGCUCAGAAAGGAUCAGAAAAAAAUUGAUUAAGGACGUUCAGAAAUGCGAGUGAAAUUUUUUACAGUAUAUUCUUGAAGAAGGAGAGCCCUGUUGGAAGAGAAAAUUAAUUUGAAGAGAAAAGGGUCAAAAUUGGAUGUUUAUGGACUUAAUGGAAGGUUUAUUUGAGUUUAUAGAGGUUUUGAUUGCAAGGAAAAAUGAGUUUUUAAGUCAAUUUAGGCUUUAAUUGGAAGAAGUUAAAGUUCUGGGGUCAAAUUAUAAUUUUUGAGAGUUGAUUUGGUUAAAUCAAGGGCCUAAUUGCAUACAUAUUGAAGUUUAAAGGUCAAUUAGGGACUUAAUUGAGAAAAUCCGAAACCAGGGACCAAUUUGGAAAAGGCGCGUAAAUAAGAGGGGCGGUAUUGGAUUUGAUCCGGGGCCAAAUUAAAGAAAUUGAAAACUGGAGGACUGAUUUGAAAAGGGGCAGGAACUGUUCAUUGUCUUCCCCACCGAGCUGCCCGAGUGGCCGACUUCCAGGCGUGUUUUCUGCCUCGUUUGGCCCCCAAAUCCAACAAAGCAUGCACCAACAUAUCCACAUGAAACCCCUUUAUCCCGGAGAAUGGUCCGGUCGGGUCGAAAAGGUUAUAAACGGGUCCGUUCAUUGGCCCGAAGUGGCCACCUCGGGCAGUUCACAGCCUGGAGCUGCCAAAUUUGGCAGCUCGAGGUGCACACUUUGAGCCAACGGUUGAGAUGCUUCCCAACUGAAUCAAGAGCUGUAAUUUUUCCACAACGUUGACAAUAUAGCCCUCUUACACCGCCUAUAAAUAGAAUCUCUGUUGAAGACCUGGGGGGGAGAAAUUCGGGUCCAAAGUCAGCCAAAAAAACCAGCAUCUUCACCCAAUUUCUGCAGAUUUUUCUUCUUCUUCUUUCUUCCUCUGCCACAGGAAACCGACACCGUCUUCCUCCAACUCCACCGCUGCAACCACUGGCUGAACCACCUCAUCACAGCAGCCACAACCCCUUCGGCCAAGCGAACAGCCAGAGGAAGAAGAAGCAGGGAGGAACAGAGAAGAAAACCCGAAAGGGGGAGAAGAAGGAAAAAGACCCAAAAGAGAGAGAACGGAGAGACGAUAGAGACAGGAGACAUAAAAAAUAAAAUAAAAUAAUAAUAAUAAUAAUAAUAAAAAAAAAAAAAAAAAAUUGAACAGUGUCGUUUUGACACUGUUCCUCUACCCGCCGCGCUCCAUGCCGUUGGAGCCGAACCUCGACAGUAGCACCCAAUGGCCGACCAGCCGCCGCGAGACCCGCUCCCAUGCGCAACAGCAAAAGCCACACCCACUUGCUCUAUAAAUAGCACCCAACACAGUAGAAAAAGAGGGGGGAAAACUUUUUGAAACGGAGAGAGGAAGAAGUUUAAAACGAGGAGAGUUUUGUUGAACGGGAGGGGGCUGGAAAACUAAAAGGGGAGGCGUGUUUUUGGAACGAGAAAGAGAGAGAGCACCCGAAACAGCCUCCUCUGUCAACGGAGCCCCAGACCGACCUCAUUUUCUCCUCCAUCCCAACAGCGGCAGCAACACCAGGAGCCGCACCAACGCUGCCAACGCCCUCAUCAUCUCCUCUAGCCCAGCAGCAGCAACACCAGGAGAAGAGUAGCAGCAGCAACACCAACACCAGGAGGAAGAGCAGCAGCGGCAACACCAGGAGCAGUUGCAGUAACACGCCAACUGCACCAGCAUUGCCAAACGCCACCACCAUCCUGCCUCAGUUCAUCACCUUCCUCCCACCCGGCGUUGCUGCUUGAAGAAAAAGGGAGCACCUGCCUCGCGAGCAGCAGGGGAAGAAGAAGAAGAAAACAACUGCUGUCUUCGGGCAUCCUCUCCAUUGCCAGCAGCACCAUCAAAGCUGCCAAACAACAGCAGAACCACCGCGAGAGGGAAGAGCACCGUGAGAAACAGAAGAAGAAAGGAGAAGCAGAGGAGAACAGAGUAAGGGAAAACACAGUGAAGAAAGGGAAGAAAAGCUCACCACCGUCCAAGCCAUUCUCCGGUCAGCAACCGCCAGCAGCACCGCCAUCAGAGCCACCACAGGUCAGCCCUCUGCCCCUUAUCUCGUUUUACUGUUCAUCUUCUUGCAUGCGGAACGUGCACUGUGCACGUUCUGCAAGCAAGAAAAUAAUUAGCCGGUUACUGUACAUGUGCACAGUAACCAGCUAAUUAAUUAACGGGUUGCUAUGCGUGUACAGUACCCCGGUUACUAUGCGUGUACAGUACCCCGAUGUACAGUGACCCCGUUUACUGUUGUUUUGGGCUGGAACCCCAGCCCAGCCCAUGCUGCUGGGCUGAGUCCAGCCCUGUAGAAAGUAGACCCGUUUUAUUUUGGGCCGAUUUCGGCCCAGUCUCCUUUCGGGCCGGGUCUGGCCCAUUCGAACAAAAAAAUUCUUCAAAAAUUAUUUCAAAAAAAAUGUGAUUUUCUCUAAAUUUAUUACUGUAUUUUGAUCAAUAUCGGUUUGUAUUUUUAUACUGUAAAGAUACAAAUCCGGUAUUAAAAUACCCGGUUUUCGUCAAGACAAAAAAUAAAAUAAGUUAAAAAUGUUUUGUUUUCGUGCAUACGGCCUAGUCUCUCCAACAUAUAUAUAUAAAUAUUAUAACAUCAUAUUUUCACACAACAAAGGAAAUUUCAAAAAAACAAUAUAUGUAUUAGCAUGCAUUUUGGCUUUAAUAACCAGUUUAUUCAAGCCAUGAGAACUAGGCCAAUAUUUCAAAAAUUCUAAAAAAUCUUUUUGUCCUCUUUUAGUAUAUGGGAUUACGAAUUUAUACGUAAAACGUAUUCCUGAAAUUAAAAAUAUGUUUUUUACAUAGACGUUAGAACGGUUAGGUUUUUUACCCGAUAAGAUAAGGACCUCCUUAUUGAGGAGGACUUUUCUUGAACCAUGGACGGACCAACAACUAGGAAACACAACGAGACCUUGAAUUUUAUCAGACAAAUGAACAAUGCAGCUUACCUUAGGUAGGGCGUAUUUGGGGUGCUAAUACCUUCCCUUUACGCAACCAGUCCCCGUACCCAAUCUCUGAGACCAGUUAGGGUUCCUAGUGACCAAAAUACUAGGUGGCGACUCCCAUUCCAUUUUCCACCAACAAAAGACAAUAUUUUCUUGUCUCCCCAUAUUUGUCAGAUAGAUACCAUACACCACUUCCUAGAUUUUAAAGUGGAAAACUCGCCGCGACGUCGCGCACCGUGCGACAAGAAAGUGUCAUAUAUGCCUCCUUAAUGGCGUGAGGAACACUGACCCGCAGCUUUUCAAUUAAAAUAAUAAAUACAUCAUGAAAAUAAUAAAACGCCCCCAUGGUCCUCUUAAUUACACAAAUAUCCGUAUAAAAAUACCAAAAUACCCCUAAAUGCAAAGUUUUUUUUUUCUGAGGCUAAAAGCGUUAUAUGACUGUACUUGGAAAUUGAAAAAAUCCAAAUACCCUUGUAAUAGAAAAUCAAAGAAACAUCUCGUGAAAAUAUAAGAAAUUAAAAGUGAAACUAUUGUUAUAAUCUACAAUAAAAAAUCUCUUAAUAUAUAGUGAUUUUCUGACAUCAUUUAGUUUUUGUUAUAAUUGAGCUGUUCUCGUGAAAAUAUUGGAAUUUAUAAAUAAUUUUUAUACAAGGUGUCUUAUAUCUAUGUAAGAAUAAGAAGUAUAAUUUAGGAUUAUCUUGAGUGGUAUGGUUAUGUACUAAGUAAUCACAUCUAACAGACUUUCUUCUUUAACCAUGUUGAGCGCGAUAUGACAUGAACGGAGGAUGGUUACAUGAAUAUGCCUUUACGGGCCGUUUAUUUUAUUUUUAAUUUUUUUUUGUAAAAACUGUGUUUUAUGAUUUUUUUUUUUAAAAAAAUUAUUGCUUGAAAUUAAUUUUUUUAUGUUUUUAGAUUUGUUAAUAUCAAAAUUAAUUUUUAAAAAAUAAAAUAAAAAUAUUAUUUUCAUGUAUUUCUGAAUGAAAAAUAUUUUUAAAAACAAUCGCUCUCACAUUUACGAACAAUAUUUUAAUAUAUAAAGGACCCAGCAAGUUGGAUUAUAUUUUGACUUGGGGUAAUCCUCAAAGUGUGGCUUGGUUAACCUGUAGGGUUUGGACAAUGCUUUCACUCAUUGUUAUUAAACCCGGCCCGGCGGGUCGACCAGAGACCCAGUCGACCCGGUAGCUGGACCGGUCCGGGUUUAAUAAAAGAUUGGCUGGGGUAAUAGCCAGGCCAAACCCGGGCGACCCGGCAUGUCGAUCCAUGACCCGAGUGACCCGAGCGAACCCGAACGAGACCGGGUGUUUUUUUUUUUCAAAUGUGAGAUUUCAAACCCAUUAGUAUAUAUACUUUAUGUUUCCAAGAAAAAAGUCAUGUUUUUUCAAUGUGGGAUAAAAAAAAACUUUUUGGUUUAAAUACUUCAACUUAAAAGGAUAACAUAGUAUCUUUUCAAUGUGGGAUUUGAAGCUCUUUCGUAUAUAUACUCUAUGUUCCCAAGAAAAAAAUCAUGAUUUUUCAAUGUGGGAUAAAAAAACUUUUUGGUUUAAAUAUUUCAACUUAAAAGAAUAACAUAGUAUCUUUUUAAUGUGGAAUUUGAAGUCCUUUCGUAUAUAUACUCUAUGUUCUCAUGAAAAAAGUUAUGUUUUUUCAAUGUGGAAUUUGAAACCCCUUAGUAUAUAUACUCUAUGUUCCCAAGAAAAAAAAUCAUGUUUUUUCAAUGUGAGAUAAAAAAACCUUUUGGUUUAAAUAUUUCAACUUAAAAGGAUAACAUAAUAUCUUUUCAAUGUGGAAUUUGAAGUCCUUUCGUAUAUAUACUCUAUGUUCCCAUAAAAGAAGUUAUGUUUUUUCAAUUUGAGAUUUGAAACCUAUUAGUAUAUAUACUCUAUAUUCCCAAGAAAAACGUCAUGUUUUUUCAAUGUGGGAUAAAAAAAAUUUGGUUUAAAUACUUCAACUUAAAAGUUUAACAUAAUAUCUUUUUAAUGUGGGAUAAAAAACUUUUUAAAAUAUUAUUUUAAACUUCAUUAUUUACAAUAUGUGUAACCUAUAUUUACAUGGAUUUUUUUCAUAUGAAAUAUUAAAAUUUUAAUUUUUUCGGGUUGAUCCGGGUUAACCCGAGUUGAUCCAUAAAACCCGGAACCCGGCCCUUUAGCCGGCUCAACCCCAAGCCGGGUUUAAUAACUAUGCUUUCACCUUGGCAUCAACUCAGGAAGAGUAGACGAAGAUGCCUUUCGUCUAUAUUUGACUCGGAGUAUAGAUAAUUCUUUUGUAUUGACUUGGAGUCAACGUGCAUGGAAGCAAGUUGAGUAUUUAAGGAUCCAGAGAGGCGAUAUUUAUGUAGUAACGUCGCCUAGAAGUCUACAAUGGUGUACUAAGGAGGCUAAAAUUAACGUUGCUGGUAAUAUAUUAUUAUGGAUUAAAUGUGUAAAAUCUUUAGUUUUUUUUUUCAAUUUGGUUUUUAAUUUAUUUAUUUUUUAUGAUUUAGUCCUGAAUGUGUAAAAUCUUCUCAAUUAGGUGUUUUUUUAACCUUUAAAGUUCAUAAGAAAAACAUAUAUAAACUCGGAUUGAUUUUUAGUUUUGGGUUGAUUUCCGUUUUUAUAACGGUUUUUUGAGCUCAAUGAUAGAUUUAUCAUGGUUUCUAAGAUGUUUUGUAUGUAUUUUAAGUAAACAAUGGGUUGAAAAUGGGUUUUUGGGUCAAAAAAGUUAAUCCCGAUUUUUUCAGCCAUUGUGGUAGCCGAAAUCUAAACAAAUCAAACGACUCGUCCUCCAUUUUUUUUUUUCAAAAAAAAUUGGGACAAAUGACAUUCUACAAAAAAAAAAAAAAGAGUUAAAUCACGGGGGGCCUGCCAGUGCAGGCUCGCAUGUGGAACCUAACAAAAUGGGUGAGGCGUCCAAACCCAACACAGAGUUUGGCCUUUGUUUUUUUUUUUGUAAAUUAUUAUUUUUUAAUUUUUUUUUAAAUUAAUGAUUUUUUUUCUCUAAUUUUUUUUUUCAGAUUAUCAGAUUAUAUUUAUAAUAUGUGCAACCACGCUUGGUGUAUUUUUCCUCUUUUAUUCUAUUCAAUCAAUUUAAUUUGUAUCUUUAUUUUUAUUAUCAUUUUCUUUAAUAAAAAAAUUAUUUUGAUAAAUAAAUUUAGCAAAUAUAAUCAAAUAAAUUUCUUAUAUUUUAGAAUUAAAUAUCUACAUCAACACCUAACUCUUAAUUUUCAAAGCUUUAUACUUUUCGCAGCUUUAUACCUUAGAAAAUGAUACCUCAAUUUUGUACUUAUGGACUCUGUUUUGCUUGGAAACCUCUGAAGGUGUAGCCUGUCACCGUGAGUCAACACCUAGUCUUCAGCUUUAUUAAUGCAUAUUAUUAAUUAAUGCAUAUUAUUAUCUUCCAUCAUAUGUGGAUAGAAUCCACUCUUACUUUUCAAAGGUGGCUUAUUCAAUAAUGCGAAGUAUUUGAUACGUUCAUUAAUUAUCUUGGGCACGUGUGGACUUAAUUUCAAGAAUAGUUCCCUUCGAAUGCAUGCUGCUAAAAAUCAUGGUGGCUAUAAAUAGCUAGGAGCGGUGGAUAGGAGGAGAGCAUAACCAUUUUAGUCACAUAGAUUUCCAAGAUGAACUCGAAGGCCUUUCUUAUCGCAUGCAUUCUCUUAGCUACCAUCGUCUUCUCUCCCCUAUCCACUUGCACUGCUCGAGAUUUGGCCGAGCGAGGUGAGAUUUUAUUUCCAUCAUUAACUUCAGAAAAGCAGUUCAUUUUGUGUGCGUGUGCGUGUAGUCUCUUUGUGUAUUGCAGCAUUAAUUAACUUAAGAUAAGCAUUUCAUGUUAUAUAUUAUUUAAUUAAUCUGUCGUGGGCUAUCUUAUAUAUAUAUAAAAAGAUGAUUCUGCUAUAAUAUCAGAUUAUGUCAACAUGAAUUUGCUAUAACAUGCGUGAAUCUUGCAGACGCAAGUGGAUCAAACAACCCCCAUAAACCAGUGUUCGGUUGCGGAAGGGGUAAGCGAUAUUGCGUACCUAAAACACCACCACCAUGCAGAAAUCUUUACAAGCGUAAUUGUUAGGAGCAAGCAAAGUUGAGUGCUUAAAAGUAUGGAGAGCUUCUGCUGUCUUUAUCAGUAUGUAAAAUGAUCAGAACUAUUUAUG
rnacentral:lncRNA from 1 species